UCUUCUGUGGUUGCCCUCUGCUUCCUCCUGUGACUUGUGAUCUUCAUCUGUAACAUUGAAACACUUCCAAUUAUAUCUUCUUCAUGUUUAAUCCUUUAUUAAUGAGAUGAUUCUGUUUAUCAUCCUGAUUAGGAGAAUAUGGAAACGUUUUGUGGUUACGCUCAUGCGAAGGGUCGUUUUCAACGCUGUCUUCAACCAUCGUCAAUAUAUCCUUCAAUGCUUCUCAUUUAAUGACUCCGCCAGAAACUUCAACUAUUAAAAAGCGGUCCGUUUGCUUAGGUUCUGAGAAGCUAUGAAUAUUAAGCGCGGCGGUGAGGUAAUUCCUCUGUCCUCCUGGACGCUAAGGAUACUCUAAUCAUUGCUGGUUGGUCACUAACGACAAUGGGACUACAUCAACAGCUUCAUUGUUGAGAGGCUUCAAGAUUGAGCCAUUGACAAUAGCUGAGCUUAGCCAGUUUGUCAUCACAGCCGAGCCUUAGGAUCACUUACAACCUUUAAUAGGUUUGUCUCCACCAUCAUUCUAAGUUCUGUUUAUGAUUGCAUAUAAAUGUAUGGUGCUACAUAUCUUGCUCCAAGUGUGCAAGGAAACUUCAGAGGAUUCCUCAUCGUUUGCAUGCAUGUUCUGCUAUCAGAGUAAUGCCCUUGGUGUUUUCAGGUAUUGUGUGGAGAUGACUGUUGCUGCUUACCCGGACGAAGCUGUUUUCGUUAAGUUUCUAUGGUGACAUAACAAAGCUCACCAAUAUCCGGGCUGAUGAUGCUGGUCAUCUGCUGGAUUAUGAGGUUUACGAGAGGAUAGCUGAGGACAUGUAUUGUGAUGUAAGAAAACUCUGCUAAAUCCUAUCCAAAACGACAUUUGAGAUUCAUGAACUGCAUCAGUACUCAUAUGAAGUUUGCUGAAGAGGCAAUGAAGCAGAACAAUUAAUUCCUCUUUCUCUGAGAUUUCUUGCCUUGAGUCUCUAAUAAACAAAAAAAAUAAUUAUAUACAACAAUAAACCGUCUUUUGUAAUAAUUGUCUAACACCAAGCAACCGUCUUCUGUAACAAACG